UGAUGACAAAUCUCCGGAAUCUCUGCACUGCUUUGAUGAAGCAUUUGAACCUAUUUCUGAAGGCUGCUGUUUUUAAAC
ensembl:snoRNA